UACGUAGGGGGCGAGCGUUAUCCGGAUUCAUUGGGCGUAAAGCGCGCGUAGGCGGCCGCCUAAGCGGAACCUCUAGCCCCGGGGCUCAACCUCGGGCCGGGUUCCGGACUGGGCGGCUCGAGUGCGGUAGAGGAGAGCGGAAUUCCCGGUGUAGCGGUGGAAUGCGCAGAUAUCGGGAAGAACACCGAUGGCGAAGGCAGCUCUCUGGGCCGUCACUGACGCUGAGGCGCGAAAGCUGGGGGAGCGAACAGG
rnacentral:rRNA from 1 species